CGGGCCGGCGGCGGCCGCCUACGGGCAUAGCCCCGCUGCCUGCUUGUCCUCCAACAACUGUGUGUUCGUCUUGCUGCUGAAGUCCGGCCGUCGGGGAUUUUAACCAAGGGCACCCAGGAAUGUUUCCCCUCUGGCCCAAAAGGCUCCCGGAGCAGAGCAGCCGAGCGCGGCCGGCAGGGUGGGCCAGCUCAAUCACAGAAUUGUUUAGGGUUGGACGGACCUCCGGUAUCAUCCAGUCCAGCCGCCCUGCCAAGGCAGGGUCCCACCCAGACAGGUGGGUUUUUGAAUGAUUCCACCGAGGGAGAUCUCACGACCUCCCUAGGCAGCCUGUUCCAGCGCUUUGCCACUCUCAAUGUAAAGAAUUUCUUCCUCAUGAAGUGGAACGUCUUGUGGUUUAGUUUAUGGCCAUUGCUCCUUGUCCUGCUGCUGGGCACCACUGAAAAGAGCCUGGCACCAUGCCCUUGGCACCUGCCUUUGAGACAUUUACAUGCAUUGAUGAGAUCUCCUCUCAGUCUUCUCUGUUCUGUCAGACUGAACGGGCCCAGCUCCUGCAGUCUCUCAUCAUUCAAAAGAUGCUCCACACCCAUCAUCAUCUUCGUGGCCUCCACUGGACCCUUUCCAGCAGCUUCUUGUCUUUCUUGUACUGAGUCCACUCAAGGCAGAUCUUGUGGAAGGCCUUUGUACUCCCAGGCUGCACAAACAGGGAUUUGUGCAGUCUGGGAGUACAAAUCAUAGAACCACAGAAUACAUUGGAUAGGAAGGGACCUUAAAGAUCAUGUCAUUUCAAUCCCAUUGCCAUAGGGAUUGGCACACCUUCCACUAUCCCAGGUUGCUCAGAGCUCCAUCCAGCCUGCAAUGGAACACUUCCAGGGAUGGGGCAUCCACAACCUCAUCACCUCACAGUGGUUGUUCUGUGAGGUAAGACCCAUCAGGGAUGCUUCUACCAUCACUCCACAGGUCCCUUUUUAUCAAUCCUCUCUAUCACAUCAGAGAGAAGAUUCAAUCCUGUAUCACUGCUGGGAACAGCACACAGCAUGAAGCUUGUUAUCCAGCUUAUCCAGUUUAUUAAGGACAUAGACAUGUCCUCUUGUCUCUUUUCCUGUGUUUUCUCUGUGGUGAAGAAAUGAGACUUUAGGCACCUGUAACAGCUUUGCUGCUGCUCAGGGAGGAGUUGACUCUCAUAGGACCCUACCUGGUAAACAGCUUUAUUUAUUACUUGUCUUUUUUUAGAAUUGGGGGCGUCUGUGUGUAACGUGUUAGCUCAGAAGCAAAACUAGUACAGAGAUGAAUCUUGGCAAUGCAGCCAAGAUGGGCAGUAACAUCAGAACUCUCCAGACUAAGGUCUUCCUUGAUGGACAAUGCUGUACUUAAACCGCUGCUUCUAUAGCAGGACACUGUUGAAUUUGUAUAGAUCUUCUCAUGCAGCUUUAUUUAUAAUAAAGGAAGUCUUGUACAAAAUCUAAA